GUAAUCCCCUACGGCUCUUGGAAAGAAGGUCAUUACCACUGUAAAGGUCGAGCUGCGCAGGUUCUUGAAGCCUCCGUGCGGCGCUUGAUCUGCUCCUGUGCGGCCUGGCUGGCUGCAUUGCCGCGACUGUGGUAAAAAAAAAAAGAAAGCGCUGCGUUGCUCACGCCAGAGAAGUGCCCCAUCAUUGAUGUCUUUCCGGCGGUGCGCGUGUCCUCGGAGCACCCCUCUCUCUUCAUCGUUGUUUGCUGUUGAACUUUGCGCCGGCUUGGCCAACGUUGCUCCGCCGAACCUCAGGCUCUCCGUGCGUGCCGGCCACCUCGCCUUGUUCUGGUUUCCUUGUUUUGCACCCCCUCCGUUCCCCUCGCGAGGAGCGUCAUGGGACAGCGCGGGUCUCGGAUGCCACCGGUGGUUGCGUCGGCCAGCGACUCAACUUCCCCAAACCCGACGGAGCGAUUGUCGCUGGUUGCCCCAAGCGCCGCGGUCGUUGGUGCUGGUGUGGCCGGUGUACAUGUCGCCUACGAGCUCGCCAAGCUAGGCUUCAAGGUGACUGUCUUUGAGCGCCGCGGCGACAUCGCGGGAGGCGAGACCAGGUUCUCUCUUCCGUUUGUGGGCGUUGGACUGAUCGAGCCGACGCUGGCUCGGACGGCAUUCCGCACAGAAGUGCUGCGUGGCAUGCUGUUCCCUACCGCCUGCCCGGAUUUGAUCGCCCGGGAACACCUCUUUAACACGCUGCUCAACCCAGUGGUGUACCGCUGGAUGUGGGGUCGGCUUCGAUCCUGCUUCUCCGACUCUGAGGUGAUGGCCUACACAAACAACCUAUCCUGCGUCAGCCACUCCGUCGUGUGCGAGCUCGUGAACAAGUACCCGCACCUGCAUCAGCACGUGUUCGCGGGACCGGUCACGGUUCUCAACGAGCGGAAAGAGGCCGCCGUGACAGCGCACGCGGAGCCCCUGACGGUCGAUCCCGUUGGCUGGACGCGAGCGUUGGCAGAGGUGUGCAGGCGAGACUACGACGUACAGUUUGCCCUUGGCGAGCGGCUCGAGGACGCCGUCACCUACCUCAAGUACGACGUCGAAUCCACCCGGAGCAUUCGCGUAUCGAAGCCCGACCCUUUGCAUCCCGAGCAGCGCCUUUUCGCCAGCGAAGGGUAUGAUGUGGUGGUCCUUGCAGCGGGAGCUAGCACUGGCACCAUGACCCUUCCCAACUCCCGCCUCCCGGUGCUGGGUCUCAGCGGUCUCUCGGCGGUGGUGCAGCAACCAAGCGGUGCCCUCAAAGACGCGAUUUGGUCCCUCUUUCAGUGCAAGCCGCACCGAUCCCCAGCCGCAGCAUCGACGUCGUCUUCCCCGGAGGUACAUGCGUCGUCCAGCCACGACGGUGUAGCAGACUCCCUUGCGCGGCCUGCCCCAGGUACACUGGCGCUGCUCAACAGUAACUGCAGUCUGUACGGCUACACGUGGCCCAGCAGCCUCACGUUCUCCACAAAUCGUAACGGUGGGCUCCCCAGCAGAUCAUCUGCCGUUGCCUCCAUGAUGCAGUCAAAGGUGCUGCCGGCAUCGCAGGACGUUGUGCUGCAAGGGCUGCUCUCCCUGGACAGCACCGUCAAAACUAAAACUCAAGCACUGGUAUCGCGGCAGCUCGAUCGGCUGGAGUCGUAUUUGCGAAUCAAGUGCGGCUGGUCAGUCCCCCUCAGCUCGUCUUCUACGUCAGCCGAGGCCGGGGGCGGCAGCAACGUCGUCCGCGUACGCGAGUAUGUCCGAGCCUUCACCCCUGACGGUGUUCCUAUCGUUGACCGCAACGGCGGCUCCUUCAACUGCUUUGUGUGCUGCGGCUUCGGCGACCACGCCAUGGACUUCGCACCAGGGGCCGCAAAGGUGCUUGGCAAGCUUGUGGAGCAUCAGGCGCAGCACCUCCGCGAGGAGGACAUCGAAAACACAAAGACGUGGGGGCUGCUGACGUCGAAGCUGUCACCGAGUCGACGGACAGCCGUAGAGGAGGAGCUGCAGCUGCUCUUCAAUGGUGCGGACCCAGAUGCGGUGAAACGGAAGGACUCCAGGACACCGUCCGAGGCGUCGGCUCUGGCCUUGCUGAGGUUCGAAGACAACCCGUACAGCACGAACCGAUUCGCGAACAUGGUGCGCAAAGAGGUGAAGACGGACAGUAGUCCGCCCAUCUUGAGCCGCCUCUGUGCUCUCGAGGAUGCCUUCCUGACUCACCUGGAGCCGCUCCGCCGCCGCUUUCACGCCAAGGCCACCGAGCUGGCACUGCGAGAAAACACGCCGGACUGGCUACGCACCCUCGUGUUCUGCUUCAUGUACGAGGAGGACGACGAUCCGGCCGCGCAGGCGCGAAAGGAGCAGCACGUGCAUAGCCUGCAGAAGCUCGCGAGUCAGUACGAAACCCCAGUGGCCGACGUCAAGACAACGGGCGAUGGCGCAGAAGAGUUGCCCCUCACACCCGCAGAGCAGAGCAAGCGCAAGCAGGCAGAGCUGGAGCGGCGCGCGCGCGAAGUCUUUGCCAAGAGAGUGUAGUCGGGCGGGGUCUCUCUAGGUUCAGACGCGUUGUGCGUUCAUGAGUGCAGAGUGUCGGCUACUGCCUCGUUUUCCUUCCCGCAUUUUUUUUCCUUGUCACAUCGCCUACACCAGAUGAGUGGGCAGACCAAUCGAAUACCGUCGCCACCUGGACCCUUUAGCGGGCGUGCUGUGCGCCACCCUUUCCGAAUCUGCGGAAGGGUAUCCCGCUGUUUCAAAUCGUGGAGCACGCCCACGUCUACGCACGCAUGCACGUGCAACCCCGACUCAAGUGCGCGGGGGGGGAACGAAGAGCGCAAGACCGAACGGGUACUUCAUUCCAUGAAGGGGAACGCGCCAACGCCGAGCGACAUUUCGCCAUAUGCAAGGGCAGGUGUGUCGGUGCAGAUGGAGGGGUUGCGUCGAUCACGCGCGUGGAGGCGGCAAGCAAGGGAAAAAAAAAACGCAGGCAUGUCGAGGAGAUGAAAGGACGCCUCAUGAUCGGCUUGGAAGGAG
rnacentral:misc_RNA from 1 species